rnacentral:lncRNA from 1 species
CUUAAGGGAAAGUGAUUACUACUAUUAAGAAGAGCCAUUUUCUGUUCUCUGUUAGGAUCUUUGGGUUCUCCUGGGAAUGUGAGCAGCCUGAGGAAGACUUGCUUUUGAGACAAACAGACGGUUCCUCCAUCUCUGGAACCAUGCCAAGAGGCUGUGCCUAAUCUGCUCAGAAAUCAUGGCCCUCUGCCUGUCACUGAAGCCUGAACACACUCCAGGAAUUAGGGUACCCGUAUUAUGCACUUCCUAGAAUGUAUCUGAAUAAGAGUGUCUGGGCCUCGGUUGAUUCAGAAUAUUGAUGAGAGGAUAAAAUCAGAG